rnacentral:snRNA from 14 species
AUACAUCUGCAGGGCGUUCCCCCAUCACCACCUGGGGACAUGCUGGGUAGCACCCCGGACCGGCUCCCGUGACCAUUCCAAAUGGGGGUGACCCAACAGCAUAAUUUUUGGUAGGGGGAGACUACGUUCGAGCAGAUUCUUU